GUGAGUAGUUCAGAGUUUGAUCCUGGCUCAGGAUGAACGCUGGCGGCGUGCUUAACACAUGCAAGUCGAACGAAGCAGUUUGUUUGGAUCCCUUCGGGGUGACGAACUUAUUGACUGAGUGGCGGACGGGUGAGUAACGCGUGGGUAACCUGCCUUAUACAGGGGGAUAACAGUUAGAAAUGACUGCUAAUACCGCAUAACCCGCUAGUGUCGCAUGACACAGACGGAAAAGAUUUAUCGGUAUAAGAUGGACCCGCGUCUGAUUAGCUGGUUGGUGAGGUAACGGCUCACCAAGGCGACGAUCAGUAGCCGGCUUGAGAGAGUGAACGGCCACAUUGGGACUGAGACACGGCCCAA
rnacentral:rRNA from 1 species